UACGUAGGGGGCAAGCGUUGUCCGGAUUUAUUGGGCGUAAAGAGCUCGUAGGCGGUCUGUCGCGUCGGCUGUGAAAUCCCGAGGCUCAACCUCGGGUCUGCAGUCGAUACGGGCAAACUAGAGUAUUGCAGGGGAGACUGGAAUUCCUGGUGUAGCGGUGAAAUGCGCAGAUAUCAGGAGGAACACCGGUGGCGAAGGCGGGUCUCUGGGCAAUAACUGACGCUGAGGAGCGAAAGCGUGGGGAGCGAACAGG
rnacentral:rRNA from 1 species